rnacentral:rRNA from 1 species
CCCUUAGAUGUUCUGGGCCGCACGCGCGCUACACUGAUGCAUUCAACGAGUCUAAAACCUGGUCUGAUAGGGCUGGGUAAUCUUUUGAAUGUGCAUCGUGAUUGGGAUAGAUGAUUGCAAUUCUUCAUCUUCAACGAGGAAUGCCUAGUAAACGCAAGUCAUCAGCUUGCAUUGAUUACGUCCCUGCCCUUUGUACACACCGCCCGUCGCUCCUACCGAUUGGGUGUGCUGGUGAAAUGUUCGGAUCGGCCGUUUGUCGCGGUUUCCGCGGCUCGUGGCUGAGAAGUUCAUUAAACCCUCCCACCUAGAGGAAGGAGAAGUCGUAACA